UACUGAGGAUGCGAGCGUUAUCCGGAUUUAUUGGGUUUAAAGGGUGCGUAGGCGGCCUUGUAAGUCAGCGGUGAAAUUUUGCAGCUUAACUGUAAAAGUGCCGUUGAUACUGUGAGGCUAGGAUUUGGUUGCUGUGGGUGGAAUGUGUGGUGUAGCGGUGAAAUGCUUAGAUAUUACACAGAACACCAAUUGCGAAGGCAGCUUUCUGGCCCAUUACUGACGCUGAGGCACGAAAGCGUGGGGAUCGAACAGGAUUAGA
rnacentral:rRNA from 1 species